ACACGACCCUCUUCCGAUUCCUCCCUUCCUGUCUAUGACUGAUGCUGAGACCUUGAUUCAUGCAUUUGUCUCUUCUAGACUUGAUAUUUGCAAUGUUCUAUGUUCUCUGUCUUACCGCAGUCCAGCAUUAGGGGUCUGCAAUUGGUUCAAAAUGCUGCUGCCAGACCUUUGACAAGGAGCAGAAUGUUCAACCACAUUACACCCAUUUUGGCA